ensembl:lncRNA
GAAUACAGUUCUUACACAUUUCUUGUCAGAUGCAUGUCUAGGCUUUCUGUUCCUCUUGUUACUGUGACUGGAAUCUUUUUGUUCCCCUAUUGUACUUGCUACUUGCUGUGACUAGUACCUAUAUAGAAAAUUGAGUCAGUGUAAUUCAUGUGAGUGGCUGUAACAGUCUUAAAGUUUCAGUGCUUUAACACCUAGCAAUUUUAUUUCUUGCUGAUGGACAAGUUGCUGUAAGCUGGGUCACUUUCCUCUCAGUAAUGCCUUAGCACGCCGGUUCUUUCCACGGCAACCAUGCAGAGUGGAGAAUGUCUGGACUCUCUUCCUUAAGAUUGCUGCCUGCAUGCUGGCCUUCCCUUUCUGAAUGCAUCUCUUUCUUGUGAUGGUUUUCCAAGUGGAGCUUCACAGCGCACGCUACUAACCUCUGCUCUUCUCCGGAAUGACAAGAGCCUCUGGCGUGUGACCUGUGCUCCAAGAAAUAAAAGGCAAGAGUUUCACUAAAUAUUUUGCUGCAAGAUAGUGUUGAUCCAAUUUUCUAGUCUUAAAUAUCAUUUUUCUUACCUCUUGACAUCCAGCUGCUAGAAUAAUGCUAUGUGGUUUAGGUUUUAUUAUUUUUUAAAAAACCAAAUACCUUGUUUCCAGUCACUAAGUUCUUAUUAGGGUAAUUAACGUAGGCUGAUGUCACAAACAACGCACAGAUCUCAUCAUUGAAGCAAUUUCUUUCUCAUGUCAUAGGCCCCUAAUGGAUUUGCUCUGAUUUUGAAGGUGUUUUACCUUUGUCUUUUCUAGGAAAUUGGGGAAGAGCGAGGCGAAGGAGUAAUAUCUUGUUCCGUCGGCAUCGUCGAUCCAAGGCUUUCUUGUGAAUUCGUUUUUACCACAUUUGAAGUGUGAUGCCCAGAGUGGAACUCGGAGCUGCUGGCACCCGCAUCCAUCUUUGGAGGCUCUGGACAUAAUCAGUGGAGCAGGCAGAAGACCUGCAGCCCCAAGCCUGCUCGUUGCCGUCUCCCCUUCACAAGUUGAAUGCACUCAUGGACCACGGAGUGAAUCCAGCGUAUCACCCUAGUCUACACUUUGGGUAACAUUUUUAUCUUUUUUUGUUUGUUUGUUUUUGACAUUCCACACUAAACAACAUUGUCUAUUGUUUUACCCUUGGCUGAAGAAAAAGGCUUGAUACAAAAUGCCUUUCCUUUCCCUUUGGUCUCUCCCCACACCACAUUUCUCUACUUGCCUUCCCAUAGAAAUGAGGACUUUUACUGAUUUCGUAUAUGCACCUGCACGGCACUAAGAAAGGAAAGGUCCACUCUAUUGUAGGGAUUGGCACAAAAAUCAACCCCAAACUAAACUUGGUCUUAUGUAGGAAGUGAAAUAGCCAAGAAUCCUCUAAAAUUAAGGCAAUUCCAGACUAUAAGGAUGAACACAGAAGCAAAUGCUGUCAAGAAAUGCAGGGUUUCUUACCUCAGUCAUUAAUGACCCACUAGCCUAGCAUGGCAGACAGGUAUUGAUUGCAACCUUCCACACAGUUUUGAUUCCUAGCCUGUCUCACCAUGACUCAGUUUUCCUAUCUAUGACAUAAACAUAAAAAGACAGAAAUUAUCUCAAAGUUUCUGCAAAGAUUAGUGUGAGCAAUGACAAACACUCAAUCUCUGGAAAAUGCCUUAAAUUCAGAAAACUCAUGAA